rnacentral:rRNA from 1 species
AUUGAACGCUGGCGGCAUGCCUUACACAUGCAAGUCGAACGGCAGCACGGGAGCAAUCCUGGUGGCGAGUGGCGAACGGGUGAGUAAUAUAUCGGAACGUGCCCGGUCGUGGGGAUAACGUAGCGAAAGCUACGCUAAUACCGCAUACGAUCUACGGAUGAAAGCGGGGGAUCGCAAGACCUCGCGCGAUUGGAGCGGCCGAUAUCAGAUUAGGUAGUUGGUGAGGUAAAGGCUCACCAAGCCGACGAUCUGUAGCUGGUCUGAGAGGACGACCAGCCACACUGGGACUGAGACACGGCCCAGACUCCUACGGGAUGCAGCAGUGGGGAAUUUUUGGACAAUGGGCGCAAGCCUGAUCCAGCAAUGCCGCGUGCAGGAUGAAGG